UGGGCAACCUGCCCUCCAAAAGGGGAUACCCCCGCGAAAGCGGGACUAAUACCGUAUGACAUUCCGGUGGCUUCGGCCGCUGGAUUCAAAGGCCGCAAGGCCGUUGGGGGAGGGGCCCGCGCCCGAUUAGCUAGUUGGUGAGGUAAUGGCUCACCAAGGCUUUGAUCGGUAGCCGGUCUGAGAGGAUGGCCGGCCACACUGGAACUGAGACACGGUCCAGACUCCUACGGGAGGCAG
rnacentral:rRNA from 1 species